rnacentral:rRNA from 1 species
UACGAAGGGGGCUAGCGUUGCUCGGAAUCACUGGGCGUAAAGGGCGCGUAGGCGGCUGAUCAAGUCGAGGGUGAAAGCCCGUCGCUCAACCACGGAAUGGCCUUCGAUACUGGUUGGCUUGAGACCGGAAGAGGACAGCGGAACUGCGAGUGUAGAGGUGAAAUUCGUAGAUAUUCGCAAGAACACCAGUGGCGAAGGCGGCUGUCUGGUCCGGUUCUGACGCUGAGGCGCGAAAGCGUGGGGAGCAAACAGG